rnacentral:rRNA from 1 species
CGGAAGGCCACUUCGGUGGUACUCGAGCGGCGAACGGGUGAGUAACACGUGAGUAAUCUGCCCUUGGCUUCGGGAUAGCCACCGGAAACGGUGAUUAAUACCGGAUAUGACCGUCUGCCGCAUGGUGGGUGGUGGAAAGUUUUUUCGGCCAGGGAUGUGCUCGCGGCCUAUCAGCUUGAUGGUGAGGUAAUGGCUCACCAUGGCUUCGACGGGUAGCCGGCCUGAGAGGGUGACCGGUCACACUGGGACUGAGACACGGCCCAGACUCCUACGGGAGGCAGCAGUGGGGAAUAUUGGACAAUGGGCGGAAGCCUGAUCCAGCAACGCCGCGUGAGGGAUGACGGCCUUCGGGUUGUAAACCUCUUUCAGCAGGGACGAAGCGCAAGUGACGGUACCUGCAGAAGAAGCACCGGCCAACUACGUGCCAGCAGCCGCGGUAAUACGUAGGGUGCGAGCGUUGUCCGGAAUUAUUGGGCGUAAAGGGCUCGUAGGCGGUUUGUCGCGUCGGGAGUGAAAACCAGGUGCUUAACACCUGGCUUGCUUUCGAUACGGGCAGACUAGAGGUAUUCAGGGGAGAACGGAAUUCCUGGUGUAGCGGUGAAAUGCGCAGAUAUCAGGAGGAACACCGGUGGCGAAGGCGGUUCUCUGGGAAUGACCUGACGCUGAGGAGCGAAAGUGUGGGGAGCGAACAGGAUUAGAUACCCUGGUAGUCCACACCGUAAACGUUGGGCGCUAGGUGUGGGGUCCAUUCCACGGAUUCCGUGCCGCAGCUA